GACGAACGCUGGCGGCGUGCUUAACACAUGCAAGUCGAACGCUGAAGCUCAGCUUUUGUUGGGUGGAUGAGUGGCGAACGGGUGAGUAACACGUGAGUAACCUGCCUCCUUCUUUGGGAUAACGCCCGGAAACGGGUGCUAAUACUGGAUAUUCACUGGUCUUCGCAUGGGGGUUGGUGGAAAGGGUUUUUCUGGUGGGGGAUGGGCUCGCGGCCUAUCAGCUUGUUGGUGGGGUGAUGGCCUACCAAGGCUUUGACGGGUAGCCGGCCUGAAAGGGUGACCGAUCACAUUGGGACUGAGAUACGGCCCAGACUCCUACGGGAGGCAGCAGUGGGGAAUAUUGCACAAUGGGCGAAAGCCUGAUGCAGCGACGCCGCGUGAGGGAUGGAGGCCUUCGGGUUGUGAACCUCUUUCGCUCAUGGUCAAGCCGCAACAAUGGUUGUGGUGAGGGUAGUGGGUAAAGAAGCGCCGGCUAACUACGUG
rnacentral:rRNA from 1 species